AUUGAACGCUGGCGGCAUGCUUUACACAUGCAAGUCGAACGAUAACAGGGAGCUUGCUCCGCUGACGAGUGGCGAACGGGUGAGUAAUGCGUCGGAACGUGCCGAGUAGUGGGGGAUAACGCAUCGAAAGGUGUGCUAAUACCGCAUACGAACUGAGGUUGAAAGUGGGGGACCUUCGGGCCUCACGCUAUUCGAGCGGCCGACGUCUGAUUAGCUAGUUGGUGAGGUAAAGGCUCACCAAGGCGACGAUCAGUAGCGGGUCGGAAAGGAUGAUCCGCCACACUGGGACUGAGACACGGCCCAGACUCCUACGGGAGGCAGCAGUGGGGAAUUUUGGACAAUGGGCGCAAGCCUGAUCCAGCCAUGCCGCGUGUCUGAAGAAGGCCUUCGGGUUGUAAAGGACUUUUGUCCGGGAGCAAAUGCUGGUGGCUAACAUCCACCGGAGCUGAGAGUACCGGAAGAAUAAGCACCGGCUAACUACGUGCCAGCCGCCGCGGUAACAC
rnacentral:rRNA from 1 species